UAAAACACCCAAACAGGGUAGAAAGGUAAAAGUCCUUUACUCUUUUCAGAUGGUACACUGUACAUUCUGCAUCCAGUCAGAAACUAGUCAUGUUAUGAAGAAGUCCUGACAAUAAGAUGCCUUACUUUGUAAAAGAUGAUGACCUUUAUCCCUGGGACACAAAUUUCAUGUCUGGUUUAUUAGUGGCCAAAAAAAAAAAGGUCUGGUGAAGGAGCUGCAGGUUGUGGAUGAUGAAGUGAAACGAAGAGAAGCUGCGAUGAAAUUAAGAUCACUUUUCGAAAGAAAAUUCAGAAGCGAGGGUCACUCUUGCUAUGCUAGGAGCCUAUAUUGCGCAGAAACAAAAACGCGAAAACGGAUAUCAAAGUUUUUUAUAUAAAUACUAAUUUUUUAUAAAAAAUAAAUUAAAAAAAAAAAAACCAACGGAUAAUACACCUUCAGUCAGAUUUGCAUAUGCCAUUAAAGAUAUGAUAUUUCUGUAACCCAAAUUGUUAAAACCAAUAGACUUUUCCCUAUUUCCAAACGCCAGCUUGUCCUUAGGAGACCAUGAAAACUCCAGUCUAUUCCACUGUUUCCCGUAUCCAUGGUGUCGAUAUCUUUGCUUUGAACCAUCAUCAUCAUCGUCUUGUAAUUCCUUCCUUGUUUCUUCUUAACUCUGGUCUUUUUAUAUAUUUUUUAACAUGAUGUUUAAAUUUUGGUGGUCAAAAGAAGCAGAGGGAGUUCAAUACGCCGCCGGUUGUGGUGAGUUAAGCACGUUGGAAAAAAUUGUAUCAGUGAGGAACUCAAAACACCAUCAGCCGACCAAAUUCAACACAUUACAGCACAACUUCGUUGAUAUGGAAAGAUUGAAGGAAAGAAUGUUAUCCAAGGUUCUGCGGCUGCGUGAUAGUGAAGGAGAGUAUUACAAAAUUAAGCUAUUAUUUAACUUUUUCAGGCAAAAAAGGUUAGUGAUGUAUCGAUCGGCAAGGACUGCUGCUGAAACAAGAACACUAUAUGAUAUUUUAACAUCAUGAUGUAACUCAGUUUGAUAUGAAGUUUUGAUGAAAUAUUUAUUUUUACUAUGAUUUGUUUUAUCUUCUUGAUGUAGGUUACUGGGAACACCAGCGGACCUGUGUUAAGAUUGUAACUUAGUUUUGUCUUGAAUAAUUCUCGAAAAUAUAAAAAAUAAAUGGGGAUGAUUUUGUGUCUGUUGAGCAUCUUUUGUUAGCAUUUCAUUCUGAUAAUAGGUUUGGACAACAACUAUUACAAAACCUUCAGCUUAGCAAGAAGGACGUGAAGGAGGCCAUCAAAGUUGUUUGUGGAAAUCAGAGAGUAAUGAAUCAAAGUAUGACUUCAAUUUCUUAUAUUUUGGGUUUUGUUUACUUGUUUUGUUAGGAAGAAAGCUGAUAAUAUUUUUUCAUCACUGUGUGACUACUUGAAUGCACUAUUUCUCAUAAUUAUCCUAAGUUUUAUAGCACCUUAGGUAUUACUGCCUUCACAUGUUAUUUCUUUCACAUUGUAGAUCCUGAAAGAAAAUAUGAGGCAUUGGCCAAAUAUGGUGCAUUCAGUUAGUCACGUAGUAAUGAAAAAAAAUAUUAUUAGCUUUCUUCCAAACUAAACAAGUAAACAAAACCCAAAAUAUAAGAAGUUGAAGUCAUGUUUCAAUCCGUUACUCUCUGACUUCCACGAACAGCUUUGAUGGCCUCCUUCUUGCUAAGCUAAAGGUUCUUUAGUAGUUGUUGUCCAAACCUCUUAUCAGAAUGAAAUGCCAACAAGAGAUACUCAAUAGACACAAAAUCAUCCCCAUUUAUUUUUUGUAUUUUCGAGAAUUAUUGAAGACGGAACUAAGAUGCAAUCUUAAUACAGGUCUGUUGGCGUUGCCAAUACCCUACAACGACAAGAUAAAAGAAAUCACAGUUACAAAAGUGACAAACACAAUAAAAAUAAGUAUUUCAUCAAAACUUCAUAUCAAACACCUUUGGUUGUUAGGUUAUAAAUUCAUCUGUAGCCUGCAAAACUGAGGUAUUGUCAAUCCCUGCCUUGGUGAAUAUUCUUUGAACCAAACCAUCAUUUUGCUCCAAAAGGGCCUUCAUCAAAUGUUCAGAUUCCACCACUUGUUGAUUGCUAACUCUCGUCUUAUACAAUUAUUGCUUGGCAUUUGUUCUCCUUGUGGAAUCUUUGCAUUUUAUGAGAUGGUGGCCUUUUGUGAAUGAAUUUCUUUUAGGGGCUACAAUUGGUGCAAUAGUUGUUGGGAAUUUGUUGAAACCAGUCGUGGUGAGCUCCAGUGUAGAAGAACUACAUUGAAUGAGUACAAGAAAUACAUUGAAAAGGAUCCUGCACUUGAGUGCAGAUUUCAACAGGUUUUUUGUGGUCAACCAUUUGUUGAAGACAUGAUAUCUAUUCUUUCUGGGUUGCAUGAACGUUAUGAGUUACAUCAUGGUGUUAAAUAUCAGAUAGUGCUCUUGUUUCAAUAGCAGUUCUUAUAUGAGUUACAUCAUAGUGUUAAAAUAUCAGAUAGUGUUCUUGUUUCAGUAGCAGUUUUUGCCAAUUGAUACAUCAUAGAACGUUUUGUCUGACAAAGAUGAACCGAUUGAAAGACAAGCUCAAACAAAAGAACAUUGAUCUCCACUACACAAAAGAAGUUGUUGAGCUUUUGGGUAUGUUAGGCUUUGGCCAGACCUUUGGGGCAAGGCCGGUUAAGAGGAUGAUAGAGCAGUUGGUUGAGAAUGAAAUUGGAAUGGGGGUGUUUAGACGAGAUUUUAAAGAGGAAGACUGGGUUGUUGUCGAUUUCAAUGAUUCGCCAUCGGCCAAAGACCGUCCUGCCCAAAACAGAUUGUGCAUCAAGAAAUUGGUCAGUUAGUAGUACAAUUAAGUAUUAGUGCAAUGGGCAGACAAAUUUCAGAAUGUUGUGAAUCUGUAGCUAAGUAUGGCUGCAAUAAAAUUGAUGUAUAGUUAUGUAAUUAAGUAAUUUUGAAUUAAAAAGAAAAUAAUAUCAAAUUAUAUAAUUAUACAUUAGUGAUUGUAUCCAUUGUUAGUCAUUGUAUUACUCAGUUAUUAGACUAGGGUUGUGCAUGAGUUGAGUUGUAGUUCAGUCUGAUUAUUGUUAACUUAAAGUUCUAACGGUUUGGGUUUGA